rnacentral:rRNA from 1 species
AUGGCGAUCAACGGUAGUAGCUCCAGCAAAAGAAAAGUUGAAGCGCAGCAAGAGGGGGAGAGCAGCUCCAAGAAGCUGAAUGUCACCGUGGGGUUGGAGACCCUUGACUGUAGUAUCUGCUCUGCGCCCCUCAGGCCUCCGAUAUUCCAGUGCUCUGUGGGGCAUUUCAUAUGCUCCUCGUGCCGUGAAUGCGAGGAUCAACUGGACCACAAGUGCUCCACAUGCUCUGUCAAAACUUCCUACAAGCGCUGCUUUGGAAUGGAACAUGUCGCCCAGUCAGUCACAGUUGCUUGCUCCAAUGACAAGUACGGAUGUGCGGAGAAGUUCACCUACUAGAAGAAAGAAGAACACGAGAAAGCAUGCCCGAAUGCCCCAUGCUUCUGCCCAGAGUCCGGUUGUCAAUUCGCUGGGCCAACAAAGAUGCUCCUGAACCAUUUCACUACCCAGCACAAGUGUCCAUCUACAAAACUACCAAACUCUGGCACGGUGUCUCUCCACCUGAAACCGGGCUUACAUGUUCUGCAAUGCACCGGCACCAGCUACUUUAUCUUGCUCAGCAUGGCAUCGAAGCCUUUUGGACAUGCCAUCUCAGUCGUCUGCGUCCAACCAAACGUUACGGAAUUCAGGUUCGCAUGUACUAUGAGCUAUGACUGCCUAACGACCGGCUGCUGUGGAAGUACAAGCUGCCACAUAAGGAGCUCUUCGCUCUCUGAUGGGCUUCCGACAGUGUAUGACUUGAUACUUCCCAAGGGAAAGGUUUCUGAUGAUGAAAACAGCAUCGUGCUCAAAGCCACCAUUCGUCGUCAACCAUUAGGUCUCAGCAGAUCUUGUUUUCGAGAAAUGGGUCCGACUCCUGCACUUGAACGAAAUCCCGAUACUUGUGAUGUUGAGGAGGAGGAGGAGGAUCAUGAGGAAGAGGAGGAGCAUAAUGAGGAAGAGUUGGAUGAUGAUCAUGAGGACGAGGAUGAUGAUGAUGAUGAUGAUGAUGAUGAGGAGGAGGAGGAGGAGGAGGAGGAGGAUAAUGAAGAAGAGUUGGAUGAUGAUCAUGAGGACGAUGGUGAUGAUGAUGAGGAGGAGGAGGUGGAUGAGGACUAG